GCCGGGAUGGUGGAAUGGUAUACACGCGACACUUAAAAUGUCGUGCGCUAUGCGCAUGUGGGUUCGAGUCCCGCUCCCGGCACCA
rnacentral:tRNA from 1 species